GCCAGCAUGGUGUAAUGGUUUGGGCGCUGGACUAGGACUCUGGAGACCAGGGUUCAAAUCCCACCUCAGCCA